GUAUCAAUAUUGUUUGUUAUUGUAAUUAAUAAGUGUUUUUGUCUACAAGAUCGAGUGACUCUUACGUAUAGAUAUGCGAUAAAAUUAUAUUAUCGAGCUAUCGGGUUCAAACGUGCAUGGUUAAGACUAAGAUAUAAAUACUCCUACCCGAAGAAUUGAUCAUCAGUAAACACAAAACCAACGUAAUUGUUACAUUCAGCGCAAUAAAAUAAUUAAAAUGUCAAAGUUUACUAUUUUGAUUUUAUUGGUCGCAUUGUUGGCUAUCGGAGCCGAAGUUAACGCUUGUAUAAAGCAUGGAGGAGAUUGUUCCGCAGGCGGUAAUUGCUGUGAUCCUUAUCAUUGCAGAAAAAAUUACUUCGAUAGACUUGAAUGUGGAAUGACAAUGGGCCCACAUAGUGACGAUGACUAAUCAGCCUCGGAUUUAUUUUUUCCGAUAAUAAUUACGAUUGCAAAGAUAACGAUUAUAUUCGAAACCAAAUAAUUUGUCAUGUAAAACUUUUUUUUUUCAUCUAUUUGAUGUAUGAGUGAAUUUUUUUGUAAACUACUAUGUCAAAUUUAAUGUUCGAAAUUUAUCAAAAUAAAUGACAUAUAUUUAUGUAAAUUAUACGAUUA